UGAGUUCUGUUUCUCUAAUUUUCAGCAGAGCUUAAUAAAUAUGAGACUAAACAAAUAUGAGGGGUUGACAUGGAUCAAUUCUUACCUACAUACAGAAAAACACAACAGUUUAAUGUGAAACUUGGAAUCACUAAAAUUUCACUCUGUAGCCAGCUGAUUCUACAGUACCUCAUAUUUUAUCACAGAAUGGUGUAUCAGACAGAAAUCUUAAGAAAUAUUGCUUUAUGGUCUGCUAAGAUAAAUCAAUGUAGGUGACAAUGCAAAUGGUAGUGCAAGUGGUUAUUUAAAAUCUCAUUUUUCCUACUUAGCUGUAAUUUUGAUAAGGAAUACAUUGAAAAUGUUUUCUGUUAAAAGCAGUGAUAAAAGUUCUUGUCAUUUUGGAAACCAUAAAAGAAUCAUAACAGAGCUGAGAAAACAAACUUUGACAUCUAGAAUUUUUUGACAGUUAGGCAAACGAUGGUGGUGGAAUGUUACAGAUAUAAUAAAAUAAUACAGAAAGUCAGAGUGGUGAUUUAUCAGCUCUAUUUUAACUUUUAACUUUGCAUGUGGCACAGAAAUCAGCACGAAGCUGCCUAAAUGGAUGUUUUGACAAGUGAAGUUGUUACAUAACAUCAUUAGUUGACUUUAACUUUGGACCUCAUGAUCAAUCUUCAUCAGUCUUUUUGAGAGCAAUUCUAUUUCCUAGAGAAGGAAAAUAUCAAAUCUCUGAUCACUGAUUUCCUUUACACUGGGUUGUUUUUCUUCCAGGCUGAAAUAACUCUCAGGACCCUUCCAAGCACCUUGCAUGUGUCUGUAUUCCAACCUUAUCCUGAAGCUCACACCACAGCAUCUAUGAACAUGAUCAUAUGGCUUUAAUUAGUUAUAAAUUUUCUUCUAUUUAAUUGCUUUUGUCUGGGAAAAAUAAUUCCUUUUAGCUGUGACAGUUACCCAUCCAUCAAAAAAGGCGAACAAGAAGCAAAAUACCAUGCCCUGACUUCAUGAUAUGUGGGACUGGAAUUACAAUAAAAAUAAAUAUAAAUAAAUAAAAAGCACAUCACAGAAAAAAGUAAAAGUCACGGUCUUAUUAUAACCAGCCCUACAUCUAGCCUUCAAUUUGUAAAAAUGAAACUACAACAAACAAUUGGAAAGAAA